GCCAAUGGACUGGAAUUCCCAUAUGUUUAUUUCAGUUAACAAGUUAAUUUGAAAUCAAAUCAACAAUUAGCAAUCCUUUUGUAGCCAUUGAAGUAGUAAGCAUGUGAAAACAGAAUCAAAAUCUUUGUGUACUAAACAAAUUGAUUGCCAAUUUUGUAGAUGUCUCACCUCAUUAGAACCCGGAGGCCGAUGACUUCUACACCUAGUCCGACGGCUACAUCUAGUCCAACGACUAUACCUACGACUGCCGCCACUGCUCAGGCAGAGAUGGACCAUAGGCCGGUCAAUCCGAUUCACUCAGAUGGUCCUCCAGUCCCACAGGCGCAGGCAUCGUCGACUUCUUCGAUGGCGUUACCUAUUAACGCCAGAUGAACUCACCGACGCCCCCACACUAUGGACCAGAUGUCGCCAUCGAGAUCCACAACCGAUGCCUCCGGUACACGGCCAGCGAAGAAAAACACUCGGGGACCUUGUUGGCAAUUGAAGACGGGGAAGGUCACCCGGGUGACCAACGAUGGUAUCCCAAUUGGAUACGAUGAGCGACAUCGGGUAGCACCAUAGUGCAUUGGCCCACAACAUUGGGCAUGUCGUGCAGACCUUUUGCCUUAUGUUGUGGAAGUCUUGGAAGGCGAUGCCGGAGGAGACGAAGAUUACAAUGCGCAAUCAAUUACAAACUACAAUUUGGAGCACAUGGACGAUGACAAGUUCACGUAUGUUAAUCGACUCUUCUUUGAACGCUACAAGCAGUGGAAAAGUGACCUGCACCAAUGGUUCCAGGAAUUUGAUGAUCCGUAGGUCGCUCUUGAGGAGGGAUGUCCGAAGGAGUUGGAGGACCGACAAGAUAGUUGGGUUUGGCUUUGCGGUCAUUUUAAGGACCCGACAUAUAUGGGUGUUAUGUUCUCUGUUUGUACCAAACUUGACCAAUCCCGAAACUACUGAGCACCGGUCAACGUUAUACCGUUAAGGACCCAGAAGAGUUUCCCUCC